rnacentral:lncRNA from 1 species
AGAUCUGUUACAAAGCCAACUAUCAUCUACACAAGAAGACUUAGACCCCCAUGUGAAGGGGAGACCACAACAAAAUAAUGUACUGGGGCCUAUAAAUACAGUAAAGGCUGAAAUAAGAAGGGGAGAGAAAGCAGAGAGUAGAGAGGGAGAUCUGUCCCUAGAGAGGUCCGAUUCGGGCUCUCCUAUUCCCUGAGGAUCAAUCCGACCUCAAGGACUUGUCCUACUAUCUGUGAACCUCUUUUGUCUUCUAUUUCCUACUUUCAGUUGUUCUACCUGAUUCUUCUAUACAACAAGAGUUGAAUUCCCUGUUGAACCUCGAAUACGGUAAGGUUAGGGCAAGAAUUAAUUCAAAUCUCAAGAGGUUCGUAACACUGGUAUCAGAGCCAGACGUCCUGGCCCCUUGCGAGAGAUCAAAAAACUACUGCAAGCACAAGUGAUUGGAGCAAGAUUCUGUUUGCGCCCUAAUAAGAUUGAAUUAACAAGGCUGAACAGAAAUUCAUUCAAGAUCUGAACUACAACAAAUUCAAGAAACGGAGGUAAAUCUUACAACGAAUUCGUUUGACCAUAUCUCAUAAAGUCAGAACGUUGGAAGAAGAUUAACAGGUCUACAACAGGAAGAAGAUCAUCCAAAAUAUCCUGGAACCUAUUUCGAUCGGCGGAUGCUCACCAGAUCUAAGGCACAUCAAAUGGCUUCGCUAGAAGAAGAGGUUGCAUCUUUGAAACAAGGAUAUGCUAAGCAAGAACAAUCCCUACUCGAGCAAAGAGAAAUCCUUAACCAGAUUCUCCAGAAAUUAUCCACAAAGGAUCCGCACUCCAAUUCACAUUCAAAUGAAGAUCCAAGAGAGGAACCGAAGCAACAAAAUACUGUCACCACUCAUUCAAACCAAACUUCACAAGGUGGGCAAGCAUAGACAUAUCAGAGGAUAGAGUUACCAGUCUUCCAUAGAGAUGGCCCCGAGGGAUGGAUCAGGCGUGCUGAGAGGUAUUUCUGCCUAAACCCUAUGUCAGAACAUGAUAGACUCAAGCAAAUUAUGCUAAGUAUGGAGGGAGAAGCCCUAGAAUGGUAUCUAUGGAAGGAAGACAGAUUUUAAUUCCGAGAUUGGCAUGACUUCAAAAGUCAACUGAAGAAACGGUUCAAGACCUCUGAGACAGGGAGUUCACUGCAACAACUAAUGAGCUUACAACAAACUAGAUCAGUAAGAGAAUACAUGGCUGAGUUUGAACGAAUUGCAGCUUUUCUACCGCAUGUCAACACAGAAGUAUUAGAAGAUGCAUAUGUGAGGGGUUUAAAACCAAACAUCAGAUCGGAAUUGGCAAUGCAUAACCCUUUGGGACUAAGAGAGACAAUGGAUUUAUCAAUCCAAGCUAAGAUUCAUCUUUGGGAAAUUCAAAACAACAGAAAUGAAUUCUUUGGGAAGCAAGCGACUACCAAGCUUGAACCAUCUCAACUUCAUUAUGACUCCUAUAAAAGAGAAUUCCAUAAUACAAAUAACAGAGUUAAUUAUAGGAAUGAUUAUCAGGAUUCAGUUGAAAGCACACCAAAGGGAAAUUCUAUAACAUCCAAGCCACCUGUGAAUAACCGCAUAAUACUUAAGUUGAUGGAUCAAGAAUUUCAAAAGAAGAAAAAUAAGGGAUUAUGCUACUACUACAAUGAAAAAUUCGCUCCAAGGCAUCGCUGUAAAAAAGAAUUGAAUAUUAUUAUUGUGGAUGAAGACCAGACGAGUGCAGAAGAUGACUACACAAAUGAAGGGUGGGAACUAUUUGAUUAGGUCAUAUCCAACACAAAUGAGAAGGCUUUCACUGCAUAUGUAACUUUAAAUUCAAUAAUGGGGAUCACUCAACAUGGAACUAUGAAACUAUGGGGCAAAAUUCAUGACAUUGAUGUGUCAAUACUCAUCGACAGCAGGGCAACUCACAAUUUUUUGUGCACCAAAAUAAUUGAAAAAUUAUCUUUACUAAUGGAGAAGUUAAAUGGCUACAACAUAGUUAUGGGCAAUGGCAACACAGUGGCAGGUGCAGCAAUUUGCAAGGUUAUAUCGCUCCAUGCACAAGAUGUUUUGAUAGUGCAAGAUUUCUUACCAUUAGAAUUGAGUGGCACUGAUGUGAUCCUACGCAUACAGUGGUUGAGAACUUUGAGGUGGAUCCUUUCCAACUAUGAGAAGUUUAUAAUGAGAUUCAUGAUGGGAGACAAGGUUCAUAUCUUCAAAGGGGACCCUGGUAUUACAAAAAUUAGUAUAUCACCAAGAAGAGCAGAGAAGGAAUUGAAGAGUAGCAAGGCAUAUAUGGUCGAAUAACAUCAUAUUCACUCACAAGAAGAUCUUAAUGCACCCAAUGGUUUAGAAAUCAGUCUGAAACAAGAAUUUCCCAAGGUUUUUCAAGUAUUGACAAGAAUACCACCUGAACACCCUAUUGACCACACCAUUCAUCUAUUACCAGGAACAAAAUCCAUUAACUUGAGGCCUUAUAAAUACUUUCAUUUCCGAGAAAAAAAAAUUUGAUGAAAUUAAGACACUCAUCCAAGAACUCCUAUCAACAGAGGACAUUAAGGUUCACAGGGUAACUCCUCAAGACACAGAGAUAUUAGUUUCAUGGAAACAUCUUUCGGAGUUUGAAUCAUCAUGGAUGACAAUAUCAGCAUUCCUUCAACAAUUUCUUACAUCUCACCUUGUGGACAAGGUGAAACUCAUGGGGGGAAGUAAUGUUACAAAGCCAACUAUCAUCUACACAAGAAGACUUAGACCCCCAUGUGAAGGGGAGACCACAACAAAAUAAUGUACUGGGGCCUAUAAAUAUAGUAAAGGCUGAAAUAAGAAGGGGAGAGAAAGCAGAGAGUAGAGAGGGAGAUCUGUCCCUAGAGAGGUCCGAUUCGGGCUCUCCUAUUCCCUGAGGAUCAAUCCGACCUCAAGGACUUGUCCUACUAUCUGUGAACCUCUUUUGUCUUCUAUUUCCUACUUUCAGUUGUUCUACCUGAUUCUUCUAUACAACAAGAGUUGAAUUCCCUGUUGAACCUCGAAUACGGUAAGGUUAGGGUAAGAAUUGAUUCAAAUCUCAGGAGGUUCGUAACAAGAUCCAAUGCAGACAUCACUUAGGCAACAGGUAGUACCAAAAUGCAUUAAAUAUAGAAAAGGGAGGAACAUAUAACAGUCGGGUGAGAUUUCAACGAAUUGGAGACCUAUACACAGAUUUCACAUGAUCUAUACCAACAUGGCGUAACCCAAGUUAAGGCCCAAAUCCCGUCAAAAUUGAAGAACUAAGAACCCUCCUCAUUGCAAAAUCUCAAUCCCACUGUCUCACUUUAGAGCAGAUAGAAAUGAAAAGUCUCUCUACUGAACAAAUUUAGCACCUAAAAAUCAGGGUGUUCCUUCAUUCCAAAGUGUGCCAAGGAUCAGAAGUCAGAUAUUGCAUUUACCUAGAAUGAAGUUAUGCAUAUAAUAAAACAGCAAUUCAGAAUAAAAAUUACAGUAGAAUCUUAUAAAUCUCUAUAAAACGAAAUAUCUUAGCGGUCUAAGCAAAAUUGAAACUCUCCAAGACACUAAUUUAAUCAAUCAGAUGUUCUUCCAAGGUUUCUUGGUGAACAAGCCCAAGAAGAUAACUUUCACACUUGGUGCAGAUAAAGCAUGGCAAUUUCAAGCAUGGUUUUCUAGGAUGGUCUGACUCCAUCCAACUUGUACAGAUUUGAUCCAUUUUCAUAGCUUUGAUUCCGAAGAUACAUCGGAAGACCUGGGGAAAUUUUCCGUAAGAUUAUUUUAGCGAUAAAGUUAUAUGAGCUAAGUUGGACAAAGCCAAGUCAUGAAAAAGUCACCAUAAUCCGGCCUGGUUCUCUCUCUUCCUAAAUCUCAUCACCGUAGAGUCAGCCAGCCUUGCUCUGGACUGUCUAUCUUAAUGCUACAAAGAAAGAUGGACCGAGGAGCAGGGCCAGUGCUGCAGAGAAUCAGGGAAGUGAUCACCAGGUAGGAAUAAACGCAGUUUUGUGACCUUUCAUUGUCGACCAGUUGAAUCAUACAUACCAGCACCAUUGUAGGCAGAAAGCAACAACUUCCUAGAGAUUUUGAAGGGAUGCCGAGGGCAUGAAGCAGGGCCAUUCCCACCUGCUAUAAUUGAGGGUGGGCUGACCAACGAAAUAAUGCCUCCAGGAGAGAGGAGACUCGAUAAAAGAUUACUUGUGAAGACAUUUAUAAUACAGAGAAAAGUCUCGAUGGAAAUUGGUUGAUAUACAAAAAAGCUUCCACAGGAGACUAAUAAGAUUCCAAUUAGAAUCCCCUAAAACCUUAGCUUUUUCUAAUUAGUUGUCCUAACCAGGUCUUUCUCGGUGUAUCUAAGAUAAGGAAAUUUCAUACAUCUAAUUUUGGUGGAUUUGGAGAUGUAUAGUCAGGGUUUUAGCUAGCUGAUUACUCCUAGUAGAUUUUUUGUAGUGCUUCCCAAGUAAUAAACUGUACUACUGGAAGCAUAAACAAAAGGGAUAACGACUAUUUCACCACAGUUCAAAAUUUAUGUGAAUAUAAGUUACCUUUUAUCUUAGUUAGUUUGACUGAUUUGCUGUCAGACUAAAAAAAGGUCAUAGUAACUACAAUAAGUCAGAUACACAGGGAAGUGAAUGUGGAUUUUUAGCCGAUAAUGAG